UGGGGAAUUUUGGACAAUGGGCGAAAGCCUGAUCCAGCAAUGCCGCGUGUGUGAAGAAGGCCUUCGGGUUGUAAAGCACUUUUGUCCGGAAAGAAAUCCUUGGCUCUAAUACAGUCGGGGGAUGACGGUACCGGAAGAAUAAGCACCGGCUAACUACGUGCCAGCAGCCGCGGUAAUACGUAGGGUGCAAGCGUUAAUCGGAAUUACUGGGCGUAAAGCGUGCGCAGGCGGUUUGCUAAGACCGAUGUGAAAUCCCCGGGCUCAACCUGGGAACUGCAUUGGUGACUGGCAGGCUAGAGUAUGGCAGAGGGGGGUAGAAUUCCACGUGUAGCAGUGAAAUGCGUAGAGAUGUGGAGGAAUACCGAUGGCGAAGGCAGCCCCCUGGGCCAAUACUGACGCUCAUGCACGAAAAGCGUGGGGGAGCAAAACAGGAUUAGAUACCCUGGUAGUCCACGCCCUAAAACGAUGUCAACUAGUUGUUGGGGAUUCAUUUCCUAGUAACGUAGCUAACGCGUGAAGUUGACCGCCUGGGGAGUACGGUCGCAAGAUUAAAACUCAAAGGAAUUGACGGGGUCAUAGCUGUUUCCU
rnacentral:rRNA from 1 species